rnacentral:rRNA from 1 species
GACGAACGCUGGCGGCGUGCCUAAUACAUGCAAGUCGAACGCUUCUUUCCUCCCGAGUGCUUGCACUCAAUUGGAAAGAGGAGUGGCGGACGGGUGAGUAACACGUGGGUAACCUACCCAUCAGAGGGGGAUAACACUUGGAAACAGGUGCUAAUACCGCAUAACAGUUUAUGCCGCAUGGCAUAAGAGUGAAAGGCGCUUUCGGGUGUCGCUGAUGGAUGGACCCGCGGUGCAUUAGCUAGUUGGUGAGGUAACGGCUCACCAAGGCCACGAUGCAUAGCCGACCUGAGAGGGUGAUCGGCCACACUGGGACUGAGACACGGCCCAGACUCCUACGGGAGGCAGCAGUAGGGAAUCUUCGGCAAUGGCCGAAAGUCUGACCGAGCAACGCCGCGUGAGUGAAGAAGGUUUUCGGAUCGUAAAACUCUGUUGUUAGAGAAGAACAAGGACGUUAGUAACUGAACGUCCCCUGACGGUAUCUAACCAGAAAGCCACGGCUAACUACGUG